GGGGAUAUAGCUCAGUUGGUAGAGUGCUUGCCUCAAAUGCACAAGGCCCUGGGUUCAAUCCCCAGCACCA
rnacentral:tRNA from 1 species